UGGAAUAAACUAAUGAGAUAUCUAAUCAGGGCAUAUGCAGCUCUUCAUUGAAAAGGCACCUGCUGUAAGGAUUUCCUUUAGGAAAGUGGGUGUUGGAGCAUUCCUGCAUUCAAAUGUAGCUCCUAUCACCUCCCCAGUGAGAAACAGCGCUAAGGCAGAGAAAGGGAGGCCUGAUGUAGCUUUUCAAAUUGAUGCUGCUUGUGGAGAGGAACAAACAGUUCAUCUCCAACAGAGGGGCUGGCUCUUGUCAUUUAUUCAUCUCCAGCCCCCUGCCUGGAUGGAAAUAAAAAUGUUUCAAAGAAGGCUGUGUGGGGGAGCUGGAGGACAGCUUGGAAGCACAGUGAGAUUGCAGAUUAGCUGUUUGGAUUAACAUCCCCUCCUCCCCCCACAAGCCCACACAGAAAGGAUAUUUGAAGCCCAGACCCUGUGACACAGCAGACCUGUCAAAUCUAAUUCACAACACAUGCCCAGCAGUACUUAGGGGAAAGGAAGGAACUGAUGCUCUGGCUCCCCACCUUCCCCAGGUACAAAGGGGCCAUUUAAUGACUGUAUAUUAGCAACAUGGACAAUUAGCAUUCACAUGGAAGAUGGAUGGCAGCAUAAAUUAAAUACUGCCAAGUGAAAGAGAGAAUAUGGAAGAGCUGAUCUCCAGGCUGUAAACCAACAAACAGAAAAAGGGAAUAAACAGCCAGUCCAGAGAGUUGCCUCCCAGCCUACUGUGACUCCUCCCAGCACAAAUCUCCUGGCACUUUUACAUGGUUUCUGUCCCCACCCUCAGUGGCCACUGAUUCUUGAGCAGAGAGAACAUUCCACUCAAGGAUCUGGAUCUCAGAGUGAUUUACAAAUGCAAAGGGGAUGCCUGUGACAUUAAGCUACACUCUGUGUUGGGAGCUACACACCAGUUGCCUCUCCCGGAGGCAUUGCACCUGCCUCAUGCACAAUGCCUGCAGGAGCCCGGGAGACACACAAGUCUGAGCAGCUCCUGCUGCACUCUUUUUCAGAGAGCAGAGUGCACUCUCCUCCACAAUGGCCCAGGUUUGCUGGCUGGCGAGGAACAAAGGAGGUAUAUCAUUCCAUCCUUCCCAACUCCUUUUGUGGAGUUUGGUACCUCUUAUAGUGCUAACAUCUCCCUGAACCUCAGAACUGCAAGAACUGGGCCUGCCUCUGGCCCCUGUGCCAAGCUGAAUGGUGGGGGAAAGUGCUCUUCCCUGUUUACUUAUCUGUGCAGGGCUAAGAUCAACAAAUUAAUUAAGCCUCAAAAGCCCCAUCAGGUAGAUAAGUAUCGUAGACCCUAUUUCAGACACAGAAAACUAAUCUAGAGGCAGCAUACAACAUAAAGAAACAAAAACCCCUCUCCUACAGCUCCCUGUGGGAUAAUGGCCAGAUGGUGAUAUUCUAAAGCCUGCCAGAACAGUAACUCCAUAGAGUAAUGGUCAAUUCAAGUUUAUUCACAACUCAGCAAGUCAAAACUGUUUCUGGACAAGUCAAUACAUCUUACUAAAAUGUUAAAAAUGAAAAGGUGGAGCAGAAAGGUGAUAGAAACCUUAGGAUUGCGCAGCGGGAUCAGACCAACCCAACAAUGGUCAGUAGUAGAUGCUUUGGAGAAAGGGGAACCCCUGCCCACAACCACAUGAGACAAUUAUGGUUUAUCCUGCUUAAGGGGGAAAUGGCUUCCUAGAUUCAAGUUUCUUACUUUAUACUUAUGUCAGGAAGAAAAGGAUUUGCCCUGUAUUUUAUUCUGAUAAGCAUUUCAUUCUGUUGUCAAUAAAUAAUAAACAACAACAAUAAUUUCUUUGAACUAAAAUGGCAUUUUCCAUCUAAGGACCUGAAAGUAUUUUACAAAAAUCAAUGAAUUUAACCACAUGAUCUCUCUGAAUGGGAGGCAAUUAUUACUUUGCACACAGGGAAACUGAGGCGGAGGAGGGCUAAGUGAUACAAUUCACUAAUAAAAUAUGGAUUUCCUGACUCCCAGUCCUGUGUCUUAAAAAGGUUAAAAUGGGCUUUCCUGUGCCAGCAAACACACUGUCUUCCCCCUACUUUGGUGCUAGGAUUACCAGAGCACAGCCCUUCUGUCCUUUCUUGUGCCAUCAGAUCUGUGCAGUUAAUUUUCUAGUCCUUUGAUUUUUCCAGA